AACAAUGAGGUACCUACCAUCUUACACCUGUCAGAAUGGCUAUCAUCAACACAUCAACAAACAAGUGCUGGGGAGGAUGUGGAGAAAACGGAACCCUUGUGCACUGCUUGUAGGAAUGCAAACUGGUUCAGACACUGUGGAGUACAGUAUGGAUUUUCCUCAAAAAGUUAAAAAUGGAACUCCCAUUUGUCCUGGAAAAUUCCCAGUUC